GUCUUCGUGGUGUAGUGGUGAGCACGCUGGACGCGUAACCGAGAGGACGUCCGUGGUUCGAUUCCCGGCGAAGGCG
rnacentral:tRNA from 1 species